rnacentral:rRNA from 1 species
CAGUAGCCGCGGGAAUACGUAGGUGGCGAGCGUUGUCCGGAAUCAUUGGGCGUAGAGGGAGCGCAGGCGGGCAUGUAAGUCUUUCUUAAAAGUUCGGGGCUCAACCCCGUGAUGGGAAAGAAACUACAUGUCUUGAGUACAGGAGAGGAAAGCGGAAUUCCCAGUGUAGCGGUGAAAUGCGCAGAUAUUGGGAGGAACACCAGUGGCGAAGGCGGCUUUCUGGACUGCAACUGACGCUGAGGCUCGAAAGCCAGGGGAGCGAACGGGAUUAGAUACCCCCGUAGUCCCUGUCUCUUAUACC